rnacentral:rRNA from 1 species
AUUGAACGCUGGCGGCAUGCCUAACACAUGCAAGUCGAGCGGAGCGGCGGACGGGUGAGUAAUGCUUAGGAAUCUGCCCGGUAGCGGGGGAUAACGUUCGGUAAUCGGCGCUAUUACUGCUUACUAUCACAUUUGCCUAGGUCGGAUUAGCUUUUGGGUGGGGUAAAGGCCUACCAAGGCGACGAUCCGUAGCUGGUCUGAGAGGAUGAUCAGUCACACUGGGACUGAGACACGGUCCAGACUCCUACGGGAGGCAGCAGUGGGGAAUAUUGGACAAUGGGCGAAAGCCUGAUCCAGCCAUGCCGCGUGUGUGAAGAAGGUCUUCGGAUUGUAAAGCACUUUAAGUAGGGAGGCGUUACCUACAGAAUAAGCACCGGCUAACUACGUGCCAGCAGCCGCGGUAAUAC